rnacentral:rRNA from 1 species
CGUGUAGGCGGUUGGUUCAAGUCGGGUGUGAAAGCCUGGGGCUCAGCCCCAGAAGUGCAUCCGAAACUAGCCAGCUAGAGCGCGAUAGAGGAGGGUGGAAUUCCUGGUGUAGCGGUGAAAUGCGUAGAUAUCAGGAGGAACACCGGCGGCGAAGGCGGCCCUCUGGAUCGUUGCUGACGCUGAGACGCGAAAGCGUGGGGAGCAAACAGGAUUAGAUACCCUGGUAGUCCACGCCUUAAACGAUGGGUACUAGGUGUUCGGGGUGUUGACCCCCUGAGUGCCGCAGUUAACGCAUUAAGUACCCCGCCUGGGGACUACGGCCGCAAGGUUAAA